AGAGUUUGAUCCUGGCUCAGAACGAACGCUGGCGGCGUGCUUAACACAUGCUAGUCGAGUGCGCGUACCGUAGCAAUACGGUAUGGCGCACGGCGCACGGGUGCGUAACACGUGGGCAAUCUGCCCUUCGAUGGGGAAUAACUCCGGGAAACCGAAGCUAAUUCCGCAUAACAUUCCUUGGACUUCGGUUCGAGGACUCAAAGCCGUAAGGCGUCGAAGGAGGAGCCCGCGCCCGAUUAGCUAGUUGGCAGGGUAACGGCCUACCAAGGCUUUGAUCGGUAGCUGGUCUGAGAGGAUGGCCAGCCACACUGGAACUGAGACACGGUCCAGACUCCUACGGGAGGCAGCAGUGGGGAAUCUUGCACAAUGGGCGAAAGCCUGAUGCAGCGACGCCGCGUGGGGGAUGAAGCAUCUCGGUGUGUAAACCCCUUUCGACCCGG
rnacentral:rRNA from 1 species